UACGUAGGGACCAAGCGUUGUCCGGAAUUACUGGGCGUAAAGCGCGCGCAGGCGGUCUUCCAAGUCAGUGGUGAAAGCCCGGAGCUCAACUCCGGAACUGCCAUUGAAACUGUGAGACUUGAGGAUGAGAGAGGUGAGUGGAAUUCCCAGUGUAGAGGUGAAAUUCGUAGAUAUUGGGAAGAACACCGGUGGCGAAGGCGGUUCUCUGGGCCUUACCUGACACUGAGGAGCGAAAGCGUGGGGAGCGAACAGG
rnacentral:rRNA from 1 species